UAAGGUCCCGGCGAGACGAGCCGUUUAUCAUUGCGAUAGGUGUCAAGUGGAAGUACAGUGAUGUAUGCAGCUGAGGCAUCCUAACAGACCGAGAUAUUUGAAC
rnacentral:rRNA from 1 species